AUGUGUGAUGAUAACACAAGAUAAUUUAAUUAAAAAUUCAAACAAUUUGGCGGUGAGAAAAGAACUUAGGGAAACCUGGGGAUUAAUUGGAUGAUCCACCAUUAUUAUGUCUUAGUAUGUGUGUUACCUGUAUGUCUGUUUAGAUUAUCGUUAGAUCUUUAGUCUUUUGUUUUACAAAACUUGAGUUCAGGUCGAUAUAGGGAUAGUUACUAAGGUCUUCUGGGUUGCAUUUAAGAUUAUUGAUAGUUUUUAUAUUACAAAACUUAAUCUGGACUUAAAAGUAAACUUUUAUGUACAUAAGUUGAAUUUUGCUUUUCUUAAGUACAAAUCCCGUACC
rnacentral:rRNA from 1 species